rnacentral:misc_RNA from 1 species
AAGUCGUAACAAGGUUUCCGUAGGUGAACCUGCGGAAGGAUCAUUAAAAAAGAUUUAUUAUCACACACGUACUGAAUAACAGAGCCUCGGCGGCUUGCCGCCAAGGAUUAGACAAAACCAAUUUAACUUGUCAACAAACCUAAUAAUCAAAACUUUCAACAACGGAUCUCUUGGUUCUC